GAUGAACGCUAGCGGCAGGCUUAACACAUGCAAGUCGAGGGGUAACGUGAGUGCUUGCACUUGACGACGACCGGCGAACGGGUGCGUAACGCGUAUAGAAUCUACCUUGUACAGGAGGAUAGCCCAGAGAAAUUUGGAUUAAUACUCCAUAAUGUUAUGUAGUGGCAUCAUUAUAUAAUUAAAGAUUUAUUGGUACAAGAUGACUAUGCGUCCUAUUAGUUAGAUGGUAAGGUAACGGCUUACCAUGGCAUCGAUAGGUAGGGGGUCUGAGAGGAUUAUCCCCCACACUGGUACUGAGACACGGACCAGACUCCUACGGGAGGCAGCAGUGAGGAAUAUUGGACAAUGGGCGAGAGCCUGAUCCAGCCAUGCCGCGUGCAGGAAGACUGCCCUAUGGGUUGUAAACUGCUUUUAUACAGGAAGAAACCUACUUACGUGUAAGUAGCUGACGGUACUGUAAGAAUAAGCACCGGCUAACUCCGUGCCAGCAGCCGCGGUAAUACGGAGGGUGCAAGCGUUAUCCGGAAUCAUUGGGUUUAAAGGGUCCGCAGGCGGUCAAUUAAGUCAGAGGUGAAAUCUCACAGCUUAACUGUGAAACUGCCUUUGAUACUGGUUGACUUGAGUCAUAUGGAAGUAGAUAGAAUAAGUAGUGUAGCGGUGAAAUGCAUAGAUAUUACUUAGAAUACCGAUUGCGAAGGCAGUCUACUACGUAUGCACUGACGCUCAUGGACGAAAGCGUGGGGAGCGAACAGG
rnacentral:rRNA from 1 species